GUCCUCGUAGCUCAGCUGGAUAGAGCACCGCUUUCCUAAAGCGGCGGUCGUACGUUCGAAUCGUACCGGGGACG
rnacentral:tRNA from 1 species